rnacentral:rRNA from 1 species
AGUGAACGCUGGCGGUAGGCCUAACACAUGCAAGUCGAACGGCAGCACAGUAAGAGCUUGCUCUUACGGGUGGCGAGUGGCGGACGGGUGAGGAAUACAUCGGAAUCUACUUUUUCGUGGGGGAUAACGUAGGGAAACUUACGCUAAUACCGCAUACGACCUACGGGUGAAAGCAGGGGAUCUUCGGACCUUGCGCGAUUGAAUGAGCCGAUGUCGGAUUAGCUAGUUGGCGGGGUAAAGGCCCACCAAGGCGACGAUCCGUAGCUGGUCUGAGAGGAUGAUCAGCGACACUGGAACUGAGACACGGUCCAGACUACUAAGGGAGGCAGCAGUGGGGAAUAUUGGACAAUGGGCGCAAGCAUGAUCCAGCCAUACCGCGUGGGUGAAGAAGGCGUUCGGGUUGUAAAGCCCUUUUGUUGGGAAAGAAAAGCAGCAGGUUAAUACCCCGCUGUUCUGACGGUACCCAAAGAAUAAGCACCGGCUAACUUCGUG